rnacentral:tRNA from 1 species
GGAUUGUAGCUCAGUGGUAGAGCACUCACCUGGCAUGUGCAGGACCCUGCGUUCGAUCCUCAGCACCA